AUACGUAGGGUGCGAGCGUUGUCCGGAAUUACUGGGCGUAAAGAGCUCGUAGGUGGUUUGUCGCGUCGUCUGUGAAAUUCCGGGGCUUAACUCCGGGAGUGCAGGCGAUACGGGCAUAACUUGAGUACUGUAGGGGAGACUGGAAUUCCUGGGGUAGCGGUGAAUUGCGCAGAUAUCAGGAGGAACACCGGUGGCGAAGGCGGGUCUCUGGGCAGUAACUGACGCUGAGGAGCGAAAGCAUGGGUAGCGAACAGGAUUAGAUACCCUGGUAGUCCAUGCCGUAAACGGUGGGCGCUAGGUGUAGGGGUCUUCCACGACUUCUGUGCCGUAGCUAACGCAUUAAGCGCCCCGCCUGGGGAGUACGGCCGCAAGGCUAAAACUUAAAGGAAUUGACGGGG
rnacentral:rRNA from 1 species